ACUGUAGUUAAUAUAUUUAUUUAUAUCCUACUGUCUGCUCUUAAAGAAGACUCAAAAAUAUUCCCAAAAGGGAUUCAGUAAUAUUUUAUCAGCACAAAAGCUUUCAAAUACUGUAAUAUGAAAUACAAGUAAGCUACCUACAAAUUCACCAAUGUGCCAGCAUCACAACUGACUCCUCCUGAAGUCAUAAUACAGCCAAAUAUGUAUAAAAUACCUCUGUUUUGAUCCACAAUGACUUCCUGCUGGGAUGUUGGACAGACAAGAAAUGUUUCACUUCAGUCUCAACUGUGGCAUGUAAUUUCCUAUUUUCAGACAAUUUAGGAGCAUCAAAGAAAGAGAUUCAUACAAAGAUGAUAUCAGAUUGGAGAAUCAUAUCAUUGUCAACUGAAGUAAAUAAUAAUUAAUAUUUACCAUAACCUUCAACUGUAAAAGAAGAAAAAGAAAUUCAGAAAUAUGUUUCCUGGAAUCUAGGGAUGGAUGAGAAUUUCCCUUCUAUUUUGAGGAAAAAUCUGAAACAAAACUGGAAGUGAUUUACCCACUUAGCCCUUCCCUUUGCCCACUUGCUACCAUCCAGGUCUAGAAGGUUAAGGCACUGGAGGAAGAAGGAAGGAAGGAAGGAAGGAAGGAAGGAAGGAAGGAAGGAAGGAAGGAAGGAAGGAAGGAAGGAAGGGAGGGAGGAAGGGAGGAAAAGAAGGAAAAAAGGGAGGAAGGUUAAUUCCAUCCUUGCUUGGGUCUCCAAACUGGUAGAGGCCGAAGGAAGAGACAAAGCUGAAGACCUACAUUCAAGACCAAGCAGUUCCCUGGAAAGGAAGCACACUUUGAACGCAAGAGGAACACAAGGCACCAUAAUGCAUCGGUUCUCACUGUUCCCAUCCUUUAACCUGGCAAUGCAGGCUGCGGCUGGUUGCCUGAAUUGGAGCCGAGAAGGAAUUUUUCCCCGUCAACCCCAAAUUGGCUCUGGGUGGAAACGGGUUUUUUGCCUUCUCUGCAUUGCCUUCCUCCUGGUUUGCUGCAAAUCUCCUUUGAUUUGCACUUCAGGAGGAGUUAAAAAAUGGGUUUCCCCGGGAGGAAGAAUGGAUCCUCUCUUUGUUCAAUAAAGUACACCAAUACAUGCUCAAAUAAUA